AAAGAAAACAAGAAAGAGUACAACUCAGCACUAGAAGACUAGAGAUUAUCACCUCCAAUGACUGCUAGGCUUGUUGACUGCUGCUAGUGAUAGAACUUAUCCAGGGCUGCCAGUAUUGCCCAAUGACCACCAAAGUUGUCAACAACCAUGAGUCACCUUUUUACCCUCUUUAUUUAUUUAUUUUUCCUUUCUUUUUCUUUUUUUCUUUUGAAAGACUUAUGUAGAUAUCUAGAUCUCUUAUGAGAUGUAGCACCAAACAUAGGAUAAGAUGAGGCGGACCCUGUCCUGUACUAUCCUAUCCCCUGUCGUGCUAAAUAAACAGGGUUUUAUUUUGUUAUCUGUACUAUAUUUACUCAAGAAACCUUUUCAUGCUUAUCUUUUAUGUAUGCACAUGCAUAAUUGGCCAGAUGCAUGAAAUUUGAGGAUUUUAUGGAGGUGAAAUGCACUUAGGAAAAAGUCUCUCCCCUCA
rnacentral:misc_RNA from 1 species